rnacentral:rRNA from 1 species
UGGCAAGCGUUGUCCGGAAUUAUUGGGCGUAAAGCGCGCGCAGGUGGUUUAAAAAGUCUGAUGUGAAAGCCCACGGCUCAACCGUGGAAGGUCAUUGGAAACUGUUAAACUUGAGUGCAGGAGAGAAAAGUGGAAUUCCUAGUGUAGCGGUGAAAUGCGUAGAGAUUAGGAGGAACACCAGUGGCGAAGGCGGCUUUUUGGCCUGCAACUGACACUGAGGCGCGAAAGCGUGGGGAGCAAACA